CUCGGACAUUCUAUUCUUAUGUCUCCGCUGCUCUCUAAGACAACAGUGGAUCGGAAUGACGGACUGAAUCCUGUGGCCCACAGACUUAACUGACCUGCAAAAAGGCACUCAGAACAUGUUAAAAAAAUGCAGAUAUCCAACAACUCUGAAAGAACGAAGCCUGCUAAAAAGGAGGCUGUGACUUUUCUGAUGCCCUGUGGGACCGACAGCGCAGCCUGAAACAUGGAACUAAGGGGAACUUCAUUCAGAACCAGCCGCCCACUGAGUGCCCAGAGAAAUGGCACUGCUUCUCCUCUCCUCUUCCCUCCAGGGCAACACUUGCUCUGCUCAGCCAAAACUCAGAGCUACUCCCUGCCGGUGAUCGCAGCCACCUUGUCCUCUCCGAUCUCUGCAAACUGCCUUUCCUGAUCUGCCUGCUACGCUGCACGAGCCAUCUCCAGAACCCACUCUCACCGUCUCCGCUCUUGAGCCCCCUCGGUUCUCCACGGACUGUGUUGCAAACCUCACUACCGGCACCAGCGGACUACGCCUGACUCUGGAAGAGCAUUCAUCGACCAGUGAUUGUUUACUAUGUUACAAUAAAGACUGUUAAAACCACUA